CCCCAAAUAAUCUGAGAUCCCAGUAGAACAUGAGACUCUUGAUCUCAGGGUUGUGGGUUCAAGCCCCACAUUGGGCA